AGCGCAGGUGGGCGCACAAGUCGAAUGUGAAAUCUAUGGGCUCAACCCAUAAAUUGCGUUCGAUACUGUGUGUCUUGAGUGGAGUAGAGGCAGGCGGAAUUCCGAGUGUAGCGGUGGGAUGCGUAGAUAUUCGGAGGAACACCAGUGGCGAAGGCGGCCUGCUGGGCUCUAACUGACACUGAGGCUCGAAAGCGUGGGGAGCAAACAGGAUUAGAUACCCUGGUAGUCCACGCUGUAAACGAUGAUUACUAGGUGUGGGAGGACUAACCCCUUCCGUGCCGCAGUUAACACAAUAAGUAAUCCACCUGGGGAGUACGACCGCAAGGUUGAA
rnacentral:rRNA from 1 species